rnacentral:rRNA from 1 species
GACGAACGCUGGCGGCGUGCCUAAUACAUGCAAGUUGAGCGAUGAAGAUGUGUGCUUGCACCAAUUUGAAGAGCAGCGAACGGGUGAGUAACGCGUGGGGAAUCUGCCUUUGAGCGGGGGACAACAUUUGGAAACGAAUGCUAAUACCGCCUAACAACUUUAAACAUAGGUUUCAAGUUUGAAAGAUGCAAUUGCAUCACUCAAAGAUGAUCCCGCGUUGUAUUAGCUAGUUGGUGAGGUAAAGGCUCACCCAGGCGAUGAUACAUAGCCGACCUGAGAGGGUGAUCGGCCACAACGGGACCGGAACACGGCCCAAACUCCUACGGGAGGCAGCAGUAGGGGAACUUCGGAAAUGGACGAAAGUCUUACCGAGCAACGCCGGGGGAGUGGAGAAAGGUCUCGGGUCGGAAAACCCUGUUUGUAGAGAAGAACGAUGGUGAGAGUGGAAAGCUCAUCAAGUGACGGUAACUACACAGAAAGGGACGGCUAACUACGUG